UAGUUUGAUCCUGGCUCAGAAUCAACGCUGGCGGCGUGCCUCAGACAUGCGAGUCGAACGAUUAAACUUUCCUUCGGGAAAGAUAUAAAGUGGCGCACGGGUGAGUAACACGUAGGUAAUGUACCUUUGGGUGGGGAAUAACUUAGGGGAACUUAAGCUAAUACCGCAUAAUGCAGCGGCUCCUUCGGGAGACAGUUGUUAAAGAUUUAUCGCCUAAAGAGCAGCCUGCGGCAGAUUAGCUAGUUGGUAAGGUAACGGCUUACCAAGGCGACGAUCUGUAUCCGACCUGAGAGGGUGGUCGGACACACUGACACUGAAUAACGGGUCAGACUCCUACGGGAGGCAGCAGUCGGGAAUUUUGGGCAAUGGGCGAAAGCCUGACCCAGCAACGCCGCGUGAAGGAUGAAGUCUUUCGGGAUGUAAACUUCGUAAGAAUAGGAAGAAUAAAUGACGGUUCUAUUUGUAAGGUCCGGCUAACUACGUGCCAGCAGCCGCGGUAAUACGUAGGGACCAAGCGUUGUUCGGAUUUACUGGGCGUAAAGGGCGCGUAGGCGGCGUGUCAAGUCAAUUGUGAAAUCUCCGAGCUUAACUCGGAACGGUCAAUUGAUACUGAUGUGCUAGAGUGCAGAAGGCGCAAUCGGAAUUCUUGGUGUAGCGGUGAAAUGCGUAGAUAUCAAGAGGAACACCUGAGGUGAACACGGGUUGCUGGGCUGACACUGACGC
rnacentral:rRNA from 1 species